AAUUUGUAAACACAUGCAUGCAAGCACUAAUUAUCAAACAAGCCAAUGGGGCAGGUGCUAUUACUGCCCCUAUUUUACAGAAGAGGAAACUGAAGCCCAAAGCAGUCAACCGCGCAGCUGGUAAGCGAGGCAGCGGUCACACCCAGACUCCCUUUUCUCCUCUCCGUCUCCUGCUUUUGCAUGCAGCGCUUUGUGGCUGAACCCAAGGGAGGUGACUCAGUUCUUGUCUCUCAUCAGCUCGCACCUCUGCUUUGUCUGAAGUGGCCACAUCUUCUGCUUCAAAUACAUUCUUCCCUUGGUUUCUGCGGUUUCUGGGUCACGGCGCCUCCUCCCACGAGCCACGGUGCUCAGGGCCCUUCCCCUUCGGCGGGGCUGGCCUGAGGUCCUGUCUGGCCUCUCUUCUGGAGCCUCUGCUCUGCUCCUGGAGGCUCCCAGGGCGGGCUCUUCUCUUUUCUGCCAUCCAUUCGUCACCCCGGCGGCCCGAGUGAUCUCUCCGGUGUGAGUCCCGAUCGCGGAGCCCGGAGCUCCCUUUGGAAUAAGGCCCAAGCCCUGAGCAUGGGUCUGAGGCCUCCUGCCACCCGUCCUCCGCCCCUCGGCCCUUCCACGCUCGCUGCAGUCUGCACCGCCAGCCUCCCGCCGGGUCCUGGACGGGUCCCUCGUUUCCGCUGCGCGUCUUUCGGCGCCUGCCUCCGCCCGGGUCCCAGGCUCUCUCCCAGCCCUCAGCUCCCCCGUGAGCUCUCCUCGAGUCCUGUCCCGGGCAGCGCAGAUCGGGGUGCCCCCCUGCCCCCACGGCCCGCAGGUACUCGUGGGCCUCGGCCCGGGGCUGGCCGGGGUGCCGGUCCACACCCGCCGGUCGCCCCCAGAACCGUGCACAAGGCCGGGCCGGGCUCGCCUCAGGCCUCGGCAGAAGGCGCGCAGCGCUAGCCGAGCGCAUGCGCCGUCACGUAGGCACUUCCGCCGCGGCGGGCGCUUGCGGUGACGUCACUGCCCGAUGUCCUCGGGCCUCUGGGUGUUCGCAGCGCGGAGCCCCUGCCCUCCUGGUCCGAUGCCUCCGUCGGGGCUCCCUGGCCCAGUUCCGUACGACCUUCUGCGCAGGAGCUGCGGGAGCGGCUGCACUCUGGCUCGUCGCCAGCCUGGUUGUGUGUUUUCUCCAGAAGCGGAAACUGAGGCUGCGCGGGUCCUGCGCCGGGACCGGACUGCGCAUGAGUACCCCCCCCCAACCCCCGCCCCCAAAGGUGCGCCCGGAACUGGUUCUGUGUCGACGGUACAACGCUGAGACUCGAGGCUCCGCAGAAACCGGGUAGGUUCGUAACUUUUUCGACACUCGCCUUUGUCACUUUGGGGGCCUUAAGGCCAUCGGGCGGAGGGGUCAUCCGUGCUUCCCAGACUCGCUCUCCCCUGCACUCCUGCUCCCCGGCGCCCGCGGAGGAAACGCUGAUCGCGCCGCGCGGGCUGAGUACCUUUGGUGGCUCUGUACCCCGCUGGGAUCCAUACGUGACGUUCGAGAGCCAAGUGAUCAAGGUACAUGACGGACUUCAUGCCCUGAGUGGGCUCCAUCUUCUGGAUGACGACUUCUUCGCGAAGGAAUUGGUACAAGAUUGGGAAGGAGCCACUCUCGGCUUUACAAGUAAGCGUCACUGUAUGUCCUUCAGGAACCGAGGCCCCAUGGGGGCUGAGGGUGAGGACAGGACGAGACACAGGGACUGAGGGAAAGAAUCAUCAGUCAGGGGGUGCUGGGCCUCCUCCCUGCACAUUUCUGGUGCUGGCCGGGCUUCAGCCCCUGCCUUCCACGUGCCCCCUUCUCCCCAUCCGCCCCCCCUUGAGGUGACCCCACUCCCGUCUUCCAGGGUAAAUGAUGCUCUGGUGGAAGAAGUCCCUUCUUUUACCCCUCCCUGUUCCUUCCUUCUGCCUGUGACCCUGGAAGAGCUGCCCCCACCUGCCCAAGCCCUGGGGUCUUCUGCUCAGUCCCUGUUCUCCGCUUCUCCACUCACUGGGGCUGGGCUCAGUGCACCACCCUUCAUCCUUUCCCUUCCAGAUUCACACACUGUUCCAGGAUCCCCUCCUCUGUCCCCGCACUCUCCCCGCAUCCAUCCUGACCCCCUCUGUUUCCCUUGGAGAGAACAGGGUCAGGAACAGGAUGGGAGGCCUGUGAGUUUCCAGAGGCCAGGACUGGGGUCUGCCUGCUGAGUACUGGCCCAGUGCUGAAUGAAGAGUCUCCUUAGGACGGGCUGGGUUAGGCAGCCAUGACUUCCCUAAGGGCCUUGAGUGCCCUGGUCAAGGAGUGGUGGUUUUGGGGGUCCUCCUCACCCCUGACUACAUCUCUGGAGUGGCUACGAUGUUAUUACCCAUCUCUGUAUCUUACGAGGAUGUGUGUGUUGGUUAUUGUCAAAAAUUAACUGCUAAUUGGGAAAAGAUACUUCUGCAUCCCUGGGAGAAAGAGAGAUGGAGACAAACAGGGAGGGAGGGAGAGAGAACGAGGGAGGGAGGGAAGAGACGCUGCGGACACAUCGAAGGGCGUGAUGGUCCUGGGCUGGACAGAGCACGAGGCCCGCGACAGAUAGAGAGACACCCUUGCUCAGAGAUCUGGGAGACAGCAGAGACAUCAGGACGUCACUGGCUGCACCGUGUUCCUCCAAAAUGCCUGUGUGGAAGCCCUAACCCCAGAGGUGGCUGUAUUUGGAGACGGGGCCUUUGAGGAGGUAAUCCAAGUUAAAGGAGGCUAUAGGUGGGGCUCUAAUCAGGUCAGACCGGGGCUCUUAUGACAGCAGAGGAAAGAGGCCCAGGUAGGACUCGGCGAGAAGCCGGCCAGCUGCAGGACGGAAAGCGCUCUCUUGAGACGCCAACCUACUGCUCCUUGAUCUUGGACUCGUAGUCCCCGGGGCUGUGAGAGAAUGCACUUCUGCGUGCAGGCCAUGCAGCCUGAGCAGACCCAUGCAGGUGACUUGGGGACGAGGCAGGAAGCGGGUAAGGCAAGAGAUUGGUUGGGAGGCAGUACAAGGCCCGAAGAAGCCGGAGGGGCUGGGCUCCAGUUGACCAGCAGGACAAUCAAGCACUGAUGUGCGGCUCCUCCUGGCUCCUGCCCCGUCCCUGGGUCCUGGCGGAUGAGAACCCGCUGACACUCACUCUGCACGCGUAGCUGGGAUUUCUGGCUCUGUUUGCAGACGCCGGAAGACCCUCUCUGGGCCUCGCACCAGUAAUACGGCGGGUCUCUGCUCCUCGUGGUGAGGGUCGGGAUUUUCAGAAAGCUUUCCGAGCCCAACUGCAGCAUGUCGUCGUCUUUGAAGAAGCGGAACCAGAGUUUGACGUCCGACCUCAGCGGAGGGAGCUGGGUCUUGCAGGUCAGGGUCACUGACUUCCCAGAGACGGUUGGUGAGAGGCUGGCUGUCAGCACGGGACGUGGAAACAGCUCUAGAGAAGGAUCACAACGGUCCCCAGAGCAGUGAGGCCCUGAACUGCUCUGGAGAGAAACACAGCCCGUCUGCAGCAGCCGCGGAAGGGAGCGUCCUUUCAGCAAGCCCGUCUCGCAGAUAACGAAGGCUUUACCUUGGACUUCGAUGUUGAUCGUGUUGGAAGAGUAGGAACAGCAGCCAUUCUUAAAUCCGGAACAGCGAUAGUCUCCGUUAUCUUUGAGACUCGCUUGCUCGAUGCGGAAGUCGGAACUUUCAUCAGAGACGCUCAGGACCUCGCCCCGCCUAUGCAGUGUCGUGGUAUCCAGAGUGAUUUCUGCGUUUGCUCGGCAUCUCAGAACCACAGAGUCGCCUUCGAACACGAAGGGGGGAGCCUGCAGGAUCAGGUUCGCUGCAAGACAACGCGAGCCUGGUCACUCGAGUGGACACGUGUCCUGAGAAGACUCGGAAAGCAGAAAUAAAAGGUCAAGCUCACGUGGUCACUUGGGAGCGAGUCCUGGGUCUGGCAUCUGUACUGUCCGGAGUCACGGACCUCCAGGGUGUUUCCUGGGGUUUCACGUAGCAUUCUCCCCUCGAGGUACCAAAGGAACCGUUUUAUUUUCUGUGGAGCGUGCAAGUGCAAUACGUGACAAGUCAGGGUCACUGUCUCUCCUGUGAAGACGACGGUCCAUGGAGGAUGGAGGGAAAUCACGGGUUUGGCCACAGCUUCUGAGGAAGAGAGAGACAGAGCCUGAGAUGGGGACGCCUGUGGUCCCCGCCACGGUCGUCUGUGUGGGACGGACCCGAGGACCAGGCUUGGGGGGAUCCCCAGGAAAGCCUCCUGGGAGGGUCAGUGGUUGCUCACGGCUGUUUGUGGAUUGGAGCCCCCAGGGGAUGGCAAUGAGAGAAAUGAUUUCAAGCCGACAGUGUAAGCAGCGGGGUUCGCCGCCAAGUGUCAGUGGGAUCAAUGGCCAGUUGGCUUCUUACGGGCGCUAGAGAAGGCCGCCCCUGCCCUCCUACUUCAUCACGUCCACCGACUCAUGGGGACCUCCCAGGGAGCUGUGCGCAUCACAGGUGUGCACUUUCUCUCACGGGAUAAAUCCUAUUUUCUGAAGGUUUUGGCACUGAGUAAAGCCUGAGGGAUUAACUUGUCUAACACCUUCGUGUCGCAGAUGAUGUUUCAGAUGCCCAGAGACUCUUGUCACAGCUGAUUGUGGCAGAGCAAGGAACGGACAGGUCGUUUGCUGGAAUCCAGAAGUGAGCCAGACAAGGAUGAAAUCCCGGGGCAGCUGAUUUCGGGCAAGGAGAGCGGUUGUAUUGCCGUUCGCGAAUCCUCAAAUAUUCAGGACAUUCUCUGACCCAGGGGAAUGGUGGUGGGAGUCAGAACUAAGAAAAUGUGUGACACAGAUAAUAUGUCUUCUCCCCCGAUUCCUAUUUGGGGUGCAUUUCUUCUUUUUGAGGGCCUAGUUGCUGGAUGUUUUUCUGGAGGAGGAACAUUUCCUGCAGGAUUUUACUUCUAAAUGUGUAGAGAACGUAGUAUUCCUGCUCGCGUCUUCACAGUGCGAUGCUUACAGAGACGUUCUUCGAGCUUGCUGAUGGGAGAAAACCUUAUCCCAAGCCCUGCGCGUUUGCCGUGGAGUUGAGGACGUCCUGCAUGGUCAAGUGGGUUCCAUCUGCGGUAGGGUUAAGUUCAGGGUCUACUGAAGGCCAGGAGCCGCUUGUGCAUUUCUUAGUUCUUCCAGGGAGAGGACGGGGCGGGGGGGAGGGGGGCGUGUGGCUGUCCUGGCCCUUGGGUGGUGCCAGCAGAGCACGUGACACUUUCACACCCCUUCUGGUCUCGGCGAGAACAGGAGCUAUUGGAGACCCUCAGACAGACAUUGCAAGCACCUCGUGUUUUUUAGGGAGACAUUCUUAUCCAGGGACACCCGAAGAACAAAAGAGACGAGAACUCACCAGAUUUUCCACUGACAGGAGCUGCAAAAUAAAUAAAUUAGCCAGAGAUGAACACAGAGCAAGGAUUCUUCGGUUUUUCAAAAGUCAUGGCUAUUGUUUUCUGUUCAUUUUAUUAUUUCUUUCAAUAGAAAUUCAUUUAAAAAACUUAACAGACACUUGUCAAAUGUCUCCUCCUUGGACUUCUAAGAUGAAUAAAAAAAAAACGGUACCUGCUGGCAAGGAGUUGAUGGCUGGGGGAGCAGAAGCAGGAAGCAAAAUAACGUAGUGCGGAAGGGAAGUGCGGUAGUAGAAACACACACGGGCAUCUUGAGGGCGGAAG